rnacentral:rRNA from 1 species
AGAACGAACGCUGGCGGCAUGCCUAACACAUGCAAGUCGAACGCUCUUGGGGCUUCGGUCUCAGGGGAGUGGCGCACGGGUGAGUAGCGCGUGGGAACCUGCCCUGUUGUGGGGGAUAACCGAGGGAAACUUCGGCUAAUACCGCAUAAGCCGGUUGUCUUGAAGGAGAUGGCCGGGAAAGAUUUAUCGCGACAGGAGGGGCCCGCGUCGGAUUAGCUAGUUGGUGGGGUAACGGCCCACCAAGGCGGUGAUCCGUAGCUGGUCUGAGAGGAUGAUCAGCCACACUGGGACUGAGACACGGCCCAGACUCCUACGGGAGGCAGCAGUGGGGAAUAUUGGACAAUGGCGCAAGCCUGAUCCAGCAAUGCCGCGUGAGUGAUGAAGGCCUUAGGGUUGUAAAGCUCUUUCGCCGCGACGAUGAUGACGGUAGCGGGAGAAGGAACGCCCGGACUAACUUCGUGCCAGCAGCCGC